rnacentral:misc_RNA from 1 species
CUGUUGUUAAAUUUGGAACACAACAUGCCAGAUGAGAUUGUAACCAAUGAGAUAAUUUUGAGACAUAUUUUUCGAAAUAUGAUUCAGUUUACCAAAUUUCACACAAUCGGCCAACUAAUCAAAAGGAAAUGAAUGACAAUGAACCAAAUUGAUACAAAUAUUUUCACAAAAAACAAAUUAAACACGAGGUGUUAAGGAAUCUAAACGAUGUAUGAUUUAUGUCAUUUUAAAGUUUUUUCACUAAACCACAAAAACUAGUAUGUCAUUUGGCAAACUCCAUGCAAAUAUCACAAAUGGUUCUCCAUAAACGCCAAGUUGUAGUCCGUCAAGAAAGCAAGCAAAUGCUUCAAAUGGCAUAGCAAACAUGCUGCCCCAUUUUCUCACGUCGAACACUCUGAACUCCCCAUCACAAAUGAUCAAGAAUUUUCAAGAAGGCGAUAAACUGUGAUUUCUUGCUGCUUAAAAUACCGUCUAUCCUCUUCAUCAACUAGAACAAGAUUCAAGAAAUACUUGACACUGAACUUGUUGUUGAUGUUGCGAUAUGUGGGUGUCAACUCAUACGGACUUAGAAACAGUCUGAUUGGAAUUGAUUCUCCUCUAACAGGAGCACCAUCCAUCAACUCAAAUUUUGCAAGGGUCUCUGUCUCAACAUAUGUAUUAGGCCCUGAUCCUGUUGACUCACGACGCCUGAUCUCAAGCUCCAUAUUUUUAAUCUUAAUUCUCACCAGAAGAAAAUAUAUUUUUCCAAUGAUGACAUCCUUCAAAUGAUACUUGCUUUUACUGUAUUCAAACUCAAUAUGAAGGCAGUCCUCAAUUCCAACUUCCAUCUUAAUGCUGUUAUUUAUUGACGGAAGCGGGGAAUAGUUGCGCACCUGGUGCAGAAAUAUAACAAAGCAACAAAAUCAAGCUAUUGUACAAUACUAUCAAGACUACACAUUCACAUGAUUAUCCAUUGAAGGAACCAAGCAAGGAGUUGUGUUUCAGAACCUUUGUGUGAAAAUAAAAUGAGUCCCAAGGUCAGUUUGCAAAACUUCUACUUGAGCUAGUCCAUUUUCUUCUACCACUUCUUUAACACAUACAAAUUUCUAAAAGCACAUUAUUUAGCCCACAUAUAUCCAUGGGUGUCCAUGUAUGUGCAUUCUUGUGUAUUUAAUUGUCACACACACACAAAUAUAUACAGUCCCAUAAAACUUCAAUUGAUUUCCAAAAGCUUUUGCAUUUACCAUUUGCCUGUUCUAUUUUUUAUUUUCUUUUUUAAGUUUCCUAGUACAACUUUCAUCUCAACUAAGCGUUAAUCCCAAACUAGUUGAGUAUGGAUCAAUUUUCGUCAUUCCAGCUUCUUAGGAUUAAAUCUUCAGAAAGAAAUAUUAAAAUACCCAUAAGAGUGUGAAUUAUGCAACCUUCAGUGGUGUUUUGCAAUCUGUAACAUCAUGUCACAUAAUACAUAGCAAUAAAACAAUGCAUUGCUACUUAAUAUGCAACAUUGACAACACCAGCAAUAUGAUUCGAAGCAUUGCUUGCUGAUACCAAAACACAUUACCACAAAAUCCUGGUACUCCACAAUGUUGCUGACGUAGUUACGACUGAUUGUCACUUUCAAUAUAUACCUAAGCCUCACGUUGACACCAUUGUAAGACUCAUAUGGCAUUUCAACUGUAGAAAAUUCGAAGGGAUAUGUUUUUCUUUCAUAUAAUUCACCAGGAAUAUCAAGUUCACGAACAAGAGAUGUAAAAUCAUAAAAGUUGCCUCGGUCAAAAUACAAUUCUAUCUGACCAAGCAACUCAAUUUUAAUGCCAGUAUGUUCAACCUUCUUUCCUUGUGUUGGUUCUACAACAACCUCUCCGACAAUGUUUUCUUGACUUUGAAAGAGAGGAACCAUAACUGUUUGGCCAUUUUCCUUUUUAAAUGGAACCUGCUUGCGAGUUCUUCCAUCAGCAAAAGUGAUUGAAAUGUUACAUGGCGGCUUGAAAGCUCCGAUUAGGAAAUUCAUGAUCCUCUGCUCAAUCCAGUAGAAUUACUGCCACUGCCACUCCGCUAGGCAUGAAGAAGCUGGAGAGGCAUUAAAAUGGGCGGAUUUGAAGCCUGAAAUUAGAGAUUGCAGGAGGAAGAAGAUCAGCUGGUUCUGUUCUUGGUCGACCAACGUCAAAUCGUCAACUGUUUACCUUCCAAAGCAUUAUUAUUUGCAGUGGAUUUCAGCUUUUUUUUUU